GACGAACGCUGGCGGCGUGCUUAACACAUGCAAGUCGAACGGUGAAAGCGGAGCUUGCUCCGCUGGAUCAGUGGCGAACGGGUGAGUAACACGUGGGCAACCUGCCCUUCACUUCGGGAUAACUCCGGGAAACCGGGGCUAAUACCGGAUAUGACCUCUGCGGGCAUCCGCGGAGGUGGAAAGUUUUUCGGUGAAGGAUGGGCACGCGGCCUAUCAGCUUGUUGGUGACGUAGUGGCUCACCAAGGCGACUACGGGUAGCCGGCCUGAGGGGGCGACCGGACGCCCUGGGACUGAGACAGGGCCGAGACUGCCAGGGGAGGCAGCAGUGGGGAAUAUUGCGCAAUGGGAGAAAGCCUGACGCAGCAACGCCGCGUGCGGGAUGACGGCCUUCGAGUUGUAAACCGCUUACAGCAGGGAAGAAGCCGCAAGGUGACGGUACCUGCAGAAGAAGCACCGGCUAACUACGUGCCAGCCGCCGCAGUAA
rnacentral:rRNA from 1 species